UAGCUCAGUUGGUAGAGCAGUUGACUUUUAAUCAAUUGGUCGCAGGUUCGAAUCCUGCACGACCCACCAAUAUACAAGGUGGUAACUGGUAGAGAACGUGAAGGAUAACGUUGCUUUAGCAACGGCGCCGAAGGGCGAGGCGAAGCCGAGUCAUCCUGCACGACCCACCA
rnacentral:sRNA from 5 species